UACGAAGGGGGGCUAGCGUUGCUCGGAAUGACUGGGCGUAAAGGGCGCGUAGGCGGUUUGUACAGUCAGGUGUGAAAUUCCCGGGCUCAACCGUGGGGGCUGCACUUGAUACGUAGGAACUGGAGUGGGGAAGAGGGUCGUGGAAUUCCCAGUGUAGAGGUGAAAUUCGUAGAUAUUGGGAAGAACACCGGUGGCGAAGGCGGCGACCUGGUCCUGACUGACGCUGAUGAGCGAAAGCCAGGGGAGCAAACGGG
rnacentral:rRNA from 1 species